rnacentral:lncRNA from 1 species
CAAGAUCUUCAACCUACACACUGGUUCUACGUUGCUCAAAGUUCUCUUGAGCUGACAAUCUCGUGACUCCAGAGGCAGAUAAGAAAGAAGGUCGGAGUCCAAAGACCACUGAAUUUGGAAUCAGAAGCUCAGUUGGAAUCGCAGCUCCGCUCUGUGCUUUUGAUGGAAACCUGAGUGGAACUCACAGUGAAGAAAUUGCUCUCAUCCCUCGCAUAAGUCUUCAUCAAUAUGUAAUCCUAAAGAGUUGUCUGGUACAAUGAAAUAUUCAAUAUGAAGGGACCCAUAGCCCAGACAUGUCAGAUAUAAUUAUGAUGCAUAAGGAUUUCUGCUCCAGCCUUUUACUUUGAAUCUGUGUGUGUCACUCUUCCUCAAAUGUUUUUCUUGUAAACAACAUAUAGUAGGAUUCUGGAUUUUAAUCCACUCUGCCAGCCACUUCUGCUUUAUAGCACUAGAAGCUUGGUCUUAUUGUCGUUUCCACUUCACAGAAGUAGAAAAUGAGGCAAACAGAAGCAAACCCUGUCUGCCCUGUGACCAAACCUCCCUUUCCCAUCUGGGAGAUAAAGAAAG